UCCGGGUGUCCAUCAGACAGCAAUAGGCUUUUCAGGUAUUGCUCAUAAUCUGGUCUUUUUUUUCUGUAUGCUCAUCCGAUGUCCGGAAUAAGCUAACUGUUUGUUCCACGUAUGUUUUAUGCCAUAUUUUGCAUUGUCCUCUGCCUGAUAUUUGCUGUGGAUACUCAUUUCCCGUAUAAGCGGUUCCAUCUGUUUGGAUUCUCUUAAUUCAUAGUCUAGUUAGCCAAAUCUGCUCUUGUUAUUAUGUUGCAUAUGAAUAUUUUUAUGUUGCUAACCCGUGUCUGUGUUUCGUGAUGUGUGUUCUUCAGGCCUCCAGGAGAAGGAAGGCGGCCUGCACUUGUCUCUCUUAAAAACCCGUGUCCAGGAGAAGGUCUUCUACUGUGGAUGGAUAGUCUCCUUUUAGACCUGUCGUGUUAUCUGUUUUGUGGAUGGAUGGCUAGUCUUUUUUAGACCUCUCGUGUUAUCUGUUUUGUGGAUGGAUGGAUAGACUUUGUUUCAUUGUCUUGCAUGGGAUGGAAACUUCUUUUUUGAAUGCUGAUGAAUAUGUUCAGCAUGAACAAGCGGUGGUACUUUUGUUGAUUAGAUUGAAGACAUGAUGUUGAAAUCAAUGGCAGUAUGUAUGUUUUGAAGAGCAUCAUCUUCAAAUAGCAUGUUUUUUCCUUUUUGCAGCAUAAAACGAAAUAUCACAUAGUUUGUCUGGAUUGGUGUUGGAGGAAACAUAA
rnacentral:lncRNA from 1 species